AUGAGUAGCGGCAUCUUCACAAGGAAGGCCGACGAAUUGAUCUUUCAUGACAAGAUUCAAGAAAGCAACAUUAAUUUCACAAGAUUCAGUAUCGGUAAGAGGAGCAAUCAGAGUUCUAAGGAAAUCAUUGUUGUUGGUAUUGGUAAAGUCACACAAUUUGGUACUAUCUUGAGCCAUCGUGACAAGCAAGCAAUCCAACACACGAGCAAACAAGAAGCACGUGAAAAAGAGGCGAACGGAAAAGAGAGGGCGAAUAAAACGGCAAGGGUGAAGUGGGGGAGAGGAAAACGAGAGGCAAAUGGCAAAUAA
rnacentral:rRNA from 1 species